rnacentral:rRNA from 1 species
AUUGAACGCUGGCGGCAGGCCUAACACCUGCAAGUCGAGCGAGCGUCGGACGGGUGAGUAAUGUAUGGGGAUCUGCCCGAUAGAGGGGGAUCACUACUGGAAACGGUUGCUAAUACCGCAUACUAUCUGAUGUCCCCAUAUGGGAUUAGCUAGUAGGUGGGUUAAAGGCUCACCUAGGCUACGAUCUCGAGAUGGUCUGAGAGGAUGACCAGCAAAAAUGGGACGGAGACAAGGCCCAGACUCCUACGGGAGGCAGCAGUGGGGAAUAUGGAACAAUGGGCGCAAGCCUGAUGCAGCCAGGCCGCUUGUAUUAAGAAGGCCUUAGGGUUGUAAAGUACUUUCAGCGGGGAGGCGUUACCCGCAGAAGAAGCACCGGCUAACUCCGUGCCAGCAGCCGCGGUAAUAC